UAUGCCGGCUGGGGUGUCUUAAGGUAUCUCCCAGCACAGGGAGUCUGGGCCAGGGACUGGUUCAAAGAGACUUUCGAGGAAUCUCAGCAUGCGAAAGUUGUCCUCCAUUCCGGAUGAACAGCUUCGGGGAAGAUCCAGCGCUUGGCGGUAGACUUUGUUCCCUGCGCGAAAUACCUUCUUGGGAUUCCCUCCAGCAGCAAAGAGGCUUCCUGAUCUCUCUAAGCGUGCUUUGCGCAGUCUCUGAGUCUCUUUGGUGUGGAGUUUUGCUUAAUGCUUCAGCUGGGUUGCUGAAGAUCUCUACGUGGUCUCCUCCUCCUCCUCCCAAAUACAUCUGGGAUAGCUUUGUUCA